AACCGCACGAGAUAAUAUAUUAUCCCGUGCGGUCGUGUUAAGUGCACCGCACGAGAUAAUCAAUUAUCCGGUGCAGUC
rnacentral:pre_miRNA from 14 species